rnacentral:rRNA from 1 species
ACGCUGGCGGCGUGCCUAAUACAUGCAAGUCGAGCGAAGUUUUUCUGGUGCUUGCACUAGAAAAACUUAGCGGCGAACGGGUGAGUAACACGUAAAGAACCUGCCUCAUAGACGGGGACAACUAUUGGAAACGAUAGCUAAUACCGGAUAACAGCAUAAAUCGCAUGAUAUAUGUUUAAAAGUUGGUUUCGGCUAACACUAUGAGAUGGCUUUGCGGUGCAUUAGCUAGUUGGUGGGGUAGAGGCCUACCAAGGCGACGAUGCAUAGCCGACCUGAGAGGGUGAUCGGCCACACUGGGACUGAGACACGGCCCAGACUCCUACGGGAGGCAGCAGUAGGGAAUCUUCCGCAAUGGGCGAAAGCCUGACGGAGCAACGCCGCGUGAGUGAAGAAGGAUUUCGGUUCGUAAAGCUCUGUUGUUAGGGAAGAAUGAUUGUAUAGUAACUAUAUACAGUAGAGACGGUACCUAACCAGAAAGCCACGGCUAACUACGUGCCAGCAGCCGCGGUAAUACGUAGGUGGCAAGCGUUGUCCGGAAUUAUUGGGCGUAAAGCGCGCGCAGGUGGUUUAAUAAGUCUGAUGUGAAAGCCCACGGCUCAACCGUGGAGGGUCAUUGGAAACUGUUAAACUUGAGUGCAGGAGAGAAAAGUGGAAUUCCUAGUGUAGCGGUGAAAUGCGUAGAGAUUAGGAGGAACACCAGUGGCGAAGGCGGCUUUUUGGCCUGUAACUGACACUGAGGCGCGAAAGCGUGGGGAGCAAACAGGAUUAGAUACCCUGGUAGUCCACGCCGUAAACGAUGAGUGCUAAGUGUUGGUCUCAUAAGAGAUCAGUGCUGCAGCUAACGCAUUAAGCACUCCGCCUGGGGAGUACGACCGCAAGGUUGAAACUCAAAGGAAUUGACGGGGACCCG